UGCUUCUUUCUGAGGCUGUAACCUUUGUGGAAACAAGAACCAAGUCUGUUAUAAUCACUUCUCUAUUCCCAGCUUCCAGCACAGUGCCUAGUAUUUGCAGAAGCUGCUUAAAAAGUACUUCUUUAAUUGAGGAACCAAAAAUGAAAUGUGCACAAUUGAGAUUAAGUUAAAAUUGACAGGAAGGUGGUGGCUAUUUUGAGUCUAUGGUUAUAGGCUUGGUCUGUCCUCAUGCUGACUUGGUCUGCGUGCCUAGGUUCAAGAUUGCCUCCAUGGGGAAUAGGCCUGCCUGCACACGUCUUACAGCCAGGGAGAUUCUUACAAUAUAUCACUUGUACAUGAGUCCCUUUCUCAGGAUCUGCUUUUGUGGCAUUCACCCUAACACCUCUGAGUGAAGGCAGCACAAAUGCCAACACCUAGUUCUGCAGAGGCAGUUCGGUGGUGGGGAUGGGAGUCACGUGAUAUGCUUCAGGUAUGUAAUUUCCAAUGAGCUAACUUAAUACAAGCAUGCAUACUGGAAAUUUUUGAACAUCAACAACAGAUCCAUUCUUCAUGCUUUCCCUCUUAGAAGUCAGCUGCAUCAACACUUUUGAAAGUACUUGAAUAGCAGAGAAAUCAAAUUUCAAGAAACUGAGUAGCAUAUAGUCCAUAUGUUUCACAUUAAAAGAAGAUCUACGCAGUCUAAAAUUAAUAUAGCUGAUGGUAUAGCUAAUGCUAAAAUUUGAAAGAAAAAAAAACCCAGUCCUGAUUGUGUUUAUUAUAUUAAUUAGAACUGUGCUUCUUUUGCAUAAUAUUUAGCUAUGAGCACUUAUUUGCAAGACAAUAAUAAUAAUGCAGCACUUUAUUUAGGGUUUAAUCAGUUGUUCAGUCAAAAUGUACUCAAUUGAGGCUACACAUUUUCAUCAUAAACUGGAGAUAAACUAAUACUGUUGGAGAGGUAUUCUAAGUUAUGAAGCUUAUUAGGUG
rnacentral:lncRNA from 13 species